AAAAAGAACUGCACAGACCGGGAAUCGAACCCGGGCCGCGGUCAUGGGAAAACCGCAUUCUGCCACUGAACUAUCAGUGC